GCGCCCGAUUUCGUCUGAUCUCGGAAGCUAA
ensembl:rRNA 5S_rRNA 5S ribosomal RNA